GGCUAACGCUGGCGGCGCGCCUAACAUAUGCAAGUCGAACGAACCCUUCGGGGUUAUUGGCAGACGGGUGAGUAACGCGAGGAUAAUGUUCCUCUUUGAUGGGGAUAUCGUUCCCAAAGGAACCUUAAUACCUGAGGUGCUUGUUUGUCGGCCUCCUCGAGCAAGUAAACUGUUCGUGUGAAGAGAGCCGUCCGCGUUCUAUCAGCUCGCUGGUGAGGUAACGGCUCACCAAGGCUACGACGGAUAACUGGUCUGAGAGGAUGAUCAGUCACACUGGAGUGGAGACACGGGUCAGACUCUGUCGGGAGUGAGCAGUGAGGAACCUGGCUCAAUGGGCGCAAGCCUGAUGCAGCCCCGCUGCGUGAGGGAUGAAGCACUUCGAGUCCUAAACCCCUGUCAGUAGGGAAGAAGCCUGACUGUACCUACUGAGGAGGCUAGCGCUAACUACUUA
rnacentral:rRNA from 1 species